rnacentral:RNase_P_RNA from 1 species
AGUAAGCCAGACAGUCGCGGGGACAAGGCGAAAGCCUGUUCAUGAGGAAAGUCCGGGCUCCACAGGGCAAGGAUAACGGGUAACGCCCGCCGAAGGCGACUUCAGGAAAAGUGCAACAGAGAUAUACCGCCCCUUUGGGGGUAAGGGUGGAAAGGCGAGGUAAGAGCUCACCCAUCGGCUCGAGAGUGUCCGAUGCUGUAAACUCUAUCCGGAGCAACACCGGUAUGGGAGCAAUAGGGCGGCCCGUCCGCUCCCGAGGUGGCUGAAGCGCACCGGCAACGGCGCGCUUAGAUAGAUGACUGUCAAAUACAGAACCCGGCUUACAGACUUGCUCG